rnacentral:rRNA from 1 species
GACGAACGCUGGCGGCGUGCCUAAUACAUGCAAGUAGAACGCUGAAGAGAGGAGCUUGCUCUUCUUGGAUGAGUUGCGAACGGGUGAGUAACGCGUAGGUAACCUGCCUUGUAGCGGGGGAUAACUAUUGGAAACGAUAGCUAAUACCGCAUAACAAUGGAUGACACAUGUCAUUUAUUUGAAAGGGGCAAUUGCUCCACUACAAGAUGGACCUGCGUUGUAUUAGCUAGUAGGUGAGGUAACGGCUCACCUAGGCGACGAUACAUAGCCGACCUGAGAGGGUGAUCGGCCACACUGGGACUGAGACACGGCCCAGACUCCUACGGGAGGCAGCAGUAGGGAAUCUUCGGCAAUGGGGGCAACCCUGACCGAGCAACGCCGCGUGAGUGAAGAAGGUUUUCGGAUCGUAAAGCUCUGUUGUAAGUCAAGAACGAGUGUGAGAGUGGAAAGUUCACACUGUGACGGUAGCUUACCAGAAAGGGACGGCUAACUACGUGCCAGCAGCCGCGGUAAUACGUAGGUCCCGAGCGUUGUCCGGAUUUAUUGGGCGUAAAGCGAGCGCAGGCGGUUUGAUAAGUCUGAAGUUAAAGGCUGUGGCUCAACCAUAGUUCGCUUUGGAAACUGUCAAACUUGAGUGCAGAAGGGGAGAGUGGAAUUCCAUGUGUAGCGGUGAAAUGCGUAGAUAUAUGGAGGAACACCGGUGGCGAAAGCGGCUCUCUGGUCUGUAACUGACGCUGAGGCUCGAAAGCGUGGGGAGCGAACAGGAUUAGAUACCCUGGUAGUCCACGCCGUAAACGAUGAGUGCUAGGUGUUGGAUCCUUUCCGGGAUUCAGUGCCGCAGCUAACGCAUUAAGCACUCCGCCUGGGGAGUACGACCGCAAGGUUGAAACUCAAAGGAAUUGACGGGGGCCCGCACAAGCGGUGGAGCAUGUGGUUUAAUUCGAAGCAACGCGAAGAACCUUACCAGGUCUUGACAUCCCGAUGCUAUUUCUAGAGAUAGAAAGUUACUUCGGUACAUCGGUGACAGGUGGUGCAUGGUUGUCGUCAGCUCGUGUCGUGAGAUGUUGGGUUAAGUCCCGCAACGAGCGCAACCCCUAUUGUUAGUUGCCAUCAUUCAGUUGGGCACUCUAGCGAGACUGCCGGUAAUAAACCGGAGGAAGGUGGGGAUGACGUCAAAUCAUCAUGCCCCUUAUGACCUGGGCUACACACGUGCUACAAUGGUUGGUACAACGAGUCGCGAGUCGGUGACGGCAAGCUAAUCUCUUAAAGCCAAUCUCAGUUCGGAUUGUAGGCUGCAACUCGCCUACAUGAAGUCGGAAUCGCUAGUAAUUGCGGAUCAGCACGCCGCGGUGAAUACGUUCCCGGGCCU